rnacentral:siRNA from 1 species
CCCAUGGCCUAAUGGAUAAGG